rnacentral:rRNA from 1 species
AGAGAGAGACAUGCGCGCAUAUCAAUAAGCGGAGGAAAAGAAACUAACAAGGAUUCCCUUAGUAACGGCGAGUGAAGCGGGAAGAGCUCAAAUUUGAAAUCUUCAAGGUUUUACCUUGACGAAUUGUAGUUUAAAGAAGUGUUUUCUGCUGAAGUUUUGGUAAAAGUUCUUUGGAAUAGGACAUCAUAGAGGGUGAGAAUCCCGUAUUUGACCAUUAUUUUCAGCUUUGUGAUACACUUUCAAAGAGUCGGAUUGUUUGGGGAUGCAGUCCAAAAUGGGUGGUAAAUUUCAUCUAAAGCUAAAUAUUGGCGAGAGACCGAUAGCGAACAAGUACCGUGAGGGAAAGAUGAAAAGAACUUUGAAAAGAGAGUUAAACAGUACGUGAAAUUGUCAAAAGGGAAGCGUUUGACACCAGUGUUGUUUUCUCGAAAAUCAAUUAAAAAUGGCUCGAUUUUGUAUUGCUGAGACCUUAAAAGCUCACUGUACAUUUUUCGUGUCUUUUUUAAUGCACUUUUCGUUUAACAAGUCAACAUCAGUUUCUUUUGUUGUAAGAGGGUCAUUGGAAGGUGGCUUUCUUUUCGGAGAAAGUGUUUAUAGCCUUUGGCCUCUGCAAUCGGAGAGACUGAGGUCUGCAGCGUAGACUCUUCGGGGUUAGAUACAUUUGUGCUAAGUUAUAGCUUUUUAUAGACAACUUGUUGACUAUAAUUAGUCUUGUAGCUUACUCGCUUAUGCUAUUUUACCUACGCUUAGGAUGUUGAAGAUGUAGCACAUCAU